GUGGUUCGUCGAGGAAAGUCCGGGCUCCUCAGGGCAGGGUGGUUGUCAACGGCAACCCGGCGCGAGCCGCGGGACAGUGCCACAGAGAACAGACCGCCGGUACUCCUCGGAGUCGCCGGUAAGGGUGAAACGGUGGUGUAAGAGACCACCAGCGCCCCGGGUGACCGGGGCGGCUCGGUAAACCCCACCCGGAGCAAGGUCGAGAGGUCGGGCCCACGGGCCCGGCUG
rnacentral:RNase_P_RNA from 14 species